AUUUGGGUUAUUGGAGUUGAUACUAAAGCUAGGGCUCCAAAAUGGGGUUUUGCUAAAUAGUUGGGUUUGAUCUAGUUUAACCCUAUAUAAACCUAAUUGCUAGGUAUACGAACGCGUUGGCGAAAUCAGUUCGGCGAUUCGUCGAGCCGGUGCAAAGAUAUUGAAGAAACAGGCGAUUCGACAUUCGUUUCCGGCUGGAGGGCCGAGGCGGCGUCCAUAAAUCGCGGGAUCGGAUUCCGAGUGUCGUAACAAGAAACCGAAGACCUUUAAUUUCUGGAUCGUGGAUCGGAAGUUGUUCGGUGGUCGCGCGUGAAUUAAGUCGAGUCGAGCGGCGUGCGCCGCGGGAGGCCGAUUGCGAGUGACCACGAGCAAUCGGAACGCUAUAAAAGGUGG
rnacentral:lncRNA from 1 species